CGGAGGAGCCGGAGCCGCGGCCGCCAGGUCGCCGCUCCGCCACUGGACCGGGCGCCUCUGCCGAAAGCCUCAAGGACCCGGCCGCGCGCUCCGCUUUCCACAACGGUGUGCUGCUGCGAGUCCGAGUGCGAGCCAGAAACUCCACUGGGAUGCAAGCCCCACGUUUCACAGGUAAAAAGAAGCCACGACCCAGAAAGCUUCAAGAUCUGACCCUUGCCAAGCAGCGGUACAAAAAUGCGAAUGAAGCCUGGGGAACGUAUCCCUAAAUAUUACCAGCGACUGCAUGCAGACCCAGAAGAUGAUUGGCAACCCAACUUAAAGCUUCAUGUGUAGGCCUUCUAGGCACGGUCAGCAACCACGAUGAGGCGUCCCUCCCCUUGACUGACAUUCUCUUAACGUCUUCUCAGCUUCACAGUUUGCCUGUUCCAGCUUUUCCUCUUCUCCAAUUUCCUCAACUUAUGAUGGGGUUGGAUAUGGUUAUCGAUGUAUUUUUCAUCUUUGAUCUCCCGCUCUUCCUUCCGGAUCCUCACAGCAUGGUAUCGGGGAACGCUAUCGUCGUACCUGGAGCGUUUAAAGAAUCCGCACUGAUCAAGGGGAGAGAGAAGCAGAAACGAAUUAAGGAUUGCAAGAAAAGCAAGUGCACAAAAUGGGAAUGUCUAAGCUUUCUGUUCAGCUACGCCUACCUCUGGACAAAGGGAAAAAAAUGGUUUAAGAAGGAACAAGCAGGUUGAAAAGACAACAGCCAUUGGGGAUAAGCGUAGGAGAAGACAGCUGUAAAACUAGAAGGAAAGUCCGUUUUUUCCAUCUUGUCUUUACAUUUUAUAACAAUGUAGUAAGCUACCUCUUUACUAACAAUUUCAGAGCUCUGGAACAGUGCUUCCAUUUUUUAUAAUCACAAUACUCUGCUAAAAAGAUCUCAAUUUUAGACUAGAUGUUAAAGAACAAUCUUUUUAAAGGCCACGAACUAAAGAUUAUUUUGUGUCCUUGUCUCACAAAAUGAAAUCAAAUCACCAAUAUUUUUACAGAUUACUAUUUGACUAUGCCAGUGUUCAAAUGAGUCAUUUUAAGGACUUUCUCUCCUCCGAGGCUAAGUACACAUCUCUCAUGAGCUAUAAGGUAAUUUACAUUGUGUGAAUUUCCUGUUGUGCUUCCAAAUUUAAGCUGUUUCAUUAAAUCAUGUAGUAACUGUGUCCUAUAAUAAAAUGAAUCAGGUACUGCAAAGAACUUGAGGAAAGUAUGCCAUUAAAUUUCAGAGCACCCCUAUUUUUUUUUUCAGAAGACAUUUACACUUAUUUAUGAAUACAUUUUUUAUUCAUUUUUUAAAAAAUAUUCAAUCUGAUCCAAAUUAGAUUUUUAUGGAGAACAUAUCAGGAAAAUUUUUAAUCAAACUGAAAUUUUUAAAUGAAUAAAAUAUGUUUCAUGGAAAAGAU